CGAGGGGGCCGUACGGACGCCUGGUGGUGAACGACGUCCGAAGUGCGGGUGCACGUGAUAGCCGCGUAAACAGAGCGUAGCUUCUCCUCCAUUCGUCUAAGCCAGGACCGGUGCGGCUCCCGUGGUAGUAGAAGUGGACCGGUCGAAAGCGAACGUCCAUACGCAGCGAACUCGGCCUGUAAAUCUUGUGUCAACUGAGCCUGCAAUUGGCACAAAGAGUAUUACAUAUAUAUGGCAAAGUACGUAACAAACACAUGCAUUAUGUUAAGAGAAGAUACUUACCGCGUGCUGUCUAGAGCCUGAAGUAGACUGGCUAGGGUACAUAUCUUGCAAACUCGGCUCGGCUAUCUCUUGGGGGUGAGAGUGCUGAAUGAUGGUCAAUCGGGUAGCUGUCAUAUACCUCUGCAAAUAUCCGUUGAAUAGAUCGAGAUCAAAGGCCGCCAAUGGCCAAACCUGUGUCGUCGCAGUCUCCCACUCUGUGACAUACGACUGAACCCUCUGCAGCCACUGAGUCUGGGUCUUGGUACUUCCCUUCCUGGUAAAUCUGAGAUCGCAAUAGAAAGUUGAACAAUUAAAUUAUGGACAAUUCUGGACGACAAUCAUAAAUUGGAGAACUGCACAUACCUGUGGACGACCUGUGGAAGUGGAUCCUCCGUCGGUGGAGGAACGACCAACUGGCGUGCCCCAAACUGCCUCUUGACCCUCUGCUG
rnacentral:lncRNA from 1 species